AUGAUACAUUUUAGAUCUCCCACAUUUUUCCCUUGGAGAUUUAUCAGGAGAUGGUGUAGAGGUUUGCAUAUAUUGGAGCUCUCAGACUUGAAGAAGGAUAUAGAACCCUCAUUGGAUAUAAACUCCAUAUCAUGUCUCACAUAUCCAAGCCAAGUGUGCCAAGAUGAACCCUGUAUGUCCUUGUAAGUGCUUUUCUAUGACUAGAAGCUUUAGAAGACAAAAAACAAAAAAAACAAAAAAAAAAACCCUUGUAAGUGCCAUGUUCCUUUGUGUGCUCAUAAGGUUGUUUUAAAACGUCCUUUAAUUUAGAAACAAGAUAUGGCACACUUUUAAAAAACUUAAUUUAGUGAUACCAAAAAUUUUAACACAUUUUUCUGUCAGGUGUUCUUUGAAAACUAAAUUUCUGCAGCGACUUGAACUUUGC
rnacentral:lncRNA from 1 species